rnacentral:rRNA from 1 species
CCUACGGGAGGCUGCAGUGAGGAAUAUUGGUCAAUGGACGCAAGUCUGAACCAGCCAUGCCGCGUGCAGGAAGACGGUCCUAUGAGUUGUAAACUGCUUUUGUCCGAGGGUAAAUCCCGAUACGUGUAUCGGGUUGAAAGUAUCGUACGAAUAAGGAUCGGCUAACUCCGUGCCAGCAGCCGCGGUAAUACGGAGGAUUCAAGCGUUAUCCGGCUUUAUUGGGUUUACAGGGUGCGUAGGCGGUUCGAUAAGUUAGAGGUGAAAUCCCGGGGCUCAACGCCGGCACUGCCUCUGAUACUGGCAGGCUAGAGUUUAGUGGAGGUAGGCGGAAUGUGUGGUGUAGCGGUGAAAUGCAUAGAGAUCAUACAGAACACCGAUUGCGAAGGCAGCAUACCGACCUACGACUGACGUUGAGGCACGAAAGCGUGGGGAGCGAACAGGAUUAGAUACCCCUGUAGUC